UACGGGGGGGUAAGCGUUGUUCGGAUUCAUUGGGCGUAAAGGGUGCGUAGGCGGCGCGGUAAGUCGGGUGUGAAUCUCGGAGCUUAACUCCGAAACUGCAUUCGAUACUGCCGUGCUUGAGGACUGGAGAGGAGACUGGAAUUUACGGUGUAGCGGUGAAAUGCGUAGAUAUCGUAAGGAAGACCAGGUGGACGGAAGGCGGGUUGGCCUGGGCCGACACUGACGCUG
rnacentral:rRNA from 1 species